GAUCCAAAAAUAGAUUGAAGUAGGCCUAGCUGCAACCAACCAUGAGCAAAACUCAGCUUUGAUGCUCGGAUGUAACAUUUAAAGGCUGAGAUGAGUUAUCAGAAAACAGUUGCAGGUGACGACGAGGACUCAUUUUUUGAGCAUGUGCAGACAUCGAUAUUUAUGACAUGGGUACUGUCAACCACUCUGACAAA